GCAGCAUGAACUUAGCUUGCUAAGUUUGAUGGCGACCGGCGCACGGGUGAGUAACACGUAUCCAACCUGCCGAUGACCCGGGGAUAGCCUUUCGAAAGAAAGAUUAAUACCCGAUGGCAUAGUUCUUCCGCAUGGUGGAACUAUUAAAGAAUUUCGGUCAUCGAUGGGGAUGCGUUCCAUUAGGUUGUUGGCGGGGUAACGGCCCACCAAGCCUUCGAUGGAUAGGGGUUCUGAGAGGAAGGUCCCCCACAUUGGAACUGAGACACGGUCCAAACUCCUACGGGAGGCAGCAGUGAGGAAUAUUGGUCAAUGGACGAGAGUCUGAACCAGCCAAGUAGCGUGAAGGAUGACUGCCCUAUGGGUUGUAAACUUCUUUUAUACGGGAAUAAAGUGAGGCACGUGUGCCUUUUUGUAUGUACCGUAUGAAUAAGGAUCGGCUAACUCCGUGCCAGCAGCCGCGGUAAUACGGAGGAUCCGAGCGUUAUCCGGAUUUAUUGGGUUUAAAGGGAGCGUAGGCGGACGCUUAAGUCAGUUGUGAAAGUUUGCGGCUCAACCGUAAAAUUGCAGUUGAUACUGGGUGUCUUGAGUACAGUAGAGGCAGGCGGAAUUCGUGGUGUAGCGGUGAAAUGCUUAGAUAUCACGAAGAACUCCGAUUGCGAAGGCAGCUUGCUGGACUGUAACUGACGCUGAUGCUCG
rnacentral:rRNA from 1 species